GGACCCGCACAAGCGGUGGAUGAUGUGGAUUAAUUCGAUGCAACGCGAAAAACCUUACCUACACUUGACAUGCCCGGAAUCUCGCAGAGAUGUGAGAGUGCCCGAAAGGGAACCGGGACACAGGUGCUGCAUGGCUGUCGUCAGCUCGUGUCGUGAGAUGUUGGGUUAAGUCCCGCAACGAGCGCAACCCUUGUCACUAGUUGCUACGAAAGGGCACUCUAGUGAGACUGCCGGUGACAAACCGGAGGAAGGUGGGGAUGACGUCAAGUCCUCAUGGCCCUUAUGUGUAGGGCUUCACACGUCAUACAAUGGCCGGUACAAAGGGCUGCCAACCCGCGAGGGGGAGCCAAUCCCAGAAAACCGGUCGUAGUCCGGAUUGCAGUCUGCAACUCGACUGCAUGAAGUCGGAAUCGCUAGUAAUCGCGGAUCAGCAUGUCGCGGUGAAUACGUUCCCGGGUCUU
rnacentral:rRNA from 1 species